GCUAAAUACUCUCUAGUGACCGAUAGUGAACCAGUACCGUGAGGGAAAGGUGAAAAGCACCCCGGAAGGGGAGUGAAAUAGAACCUGAAACCGUGUGCUUACAAGUAGUCAGAGCCCGUUAAUGGGUGAUGGCGUGCCUUUUGUAGAAUGAACCGGCGAGUUACGAUUUGAUGCAAGGUUAAGCAGUAAAUGUGGAGCCGUAGCGAAAGCGAGUCUGAAUAGGGCGUUUAGUAUUUGGUCGUAGACCCGAAACCAGGUGAUCUACCCUUGGUCAGGUUGAAGUUCAGGUAACACUGAAUGGAGGACCGAACCGACUUACGUUGAAAAGUGAGCGGAUGAACUGAGGGUAGCGGAGAAAUUCCAAUCGAACCUGGAGAUAGCUGGUUCUCUCCGAAAUAGCUUUAGGGCUAGCCUCAAGUGAUGAUUAUUGGAGGUAGAGCACUGUUUGGACGAGGGGCCCCUCUCGGGUUACCGAAUUCAGACAAACUCCGAAUGCCAAUUAAUUUAACUUGGGAGUCAGAACAUGGGUGAUAAGGUCCGUGUUCGAAAGGGAAACAGCCCAGACCACCAGCUAAGGUCCCAAAAUAUAUGUUAAGUGGAAAAGGAUGUGGCGUUGCCCAGACAACUAGGAUGUUGGCUUAGAAGCAGCCAUCAUUUAAAGAGUGCGUAAUAGCUCACUAGUCGAGUGACACUGCGCCGAAAAUGUACCGGGGCUAAACAUAUUACCGAAGCUGUGGAUUGUCCUUUGGACAAUGGUAGGAGAGCGUUCUAAGGGCGUUGAAGCAUGAUCGUAAGGACAUGUGGAGCGCUUAGAAGUGAGAAUGCCGGUGUGAGUAGCGAAAGACGGGUGAGAAUCCCGUCCACCGAUUGACUAAGGUUUCCAGAGGAAGGCUCGUCCGCUCUGGGUUAGUCGGGUCCUAAGCUGAGGCCGACAGGCGUAGGCGAUGGAUAACAGGUUGAUAUUCCUGUACCACCUAUAAUCGUUUUAAUCGAUGGGGGGACGCAGUAGGAUAGGCGAAGCGUGCGAUUGGAUUGCACGUCUAAGCAGUAAGGCUGAGUAUUAGGCAAAUCCGGUACUCGUUAAGGCUGAGCUGUGAUGGGGAGAAGACAUUGUGUCUUCGAGUCGUUGAUUUCACACUGCCGAGAAAAGCCUCUAGAUAGAAAAUAGGUGCCCGUACCGCAAACCGACACAGGUAGUCAAGAUGAGAAUUCUAAGGUGAGCGAGCGAACUCUCGUUAAGGAACUCGGCAAAAUGACCCCGUAACUUCGGGAGAAGGGGUGCUCUUUAGGGUUAACGCCCAGAAGAGCCGCAGUGAAUAGGCCCAAGCGACUGUUUAUCAAAAACACAGGUCUCUGCUAAACCGUAAGGUGAUGUAUAGGGGCUGACGCCUGCCCGGUGCUGGAAGGUUAAGAGGAGUGGUUAGCUUCUGCGAAGCUACGAAUCGAAGCCCCAGUAAACGGCGGCCGUAACUAUAACGGUCCUAAGGUAGCGAAAUUCCUUGUCGGGUAAGUUCCGACCCGCACGAAAGGCGUAACGAUUUGGGCACUGUCUCAACGAGAGACUCGGUGAAAUCAUAGUACCUGUGAAGAUGCAGGUUACCCGCGACAGGACGGAAAGACCCCGUGGAGCUUUACUGUAGCCUGAUAUUGAAAUUCGGCACAGCUUGUACAGGAUAGGUAGGAGCCUUUGAAACGUGAGCGCUAGCUUACGUGGAGGCGCUGGUGGGAUACUACCCUAGCUGUGUUGGCUUUCUAACCCGCACCACUUAUCGUGGUGGGAGACAGUGUCAGGCGGGCAGUUUGACUGGGGCGGUCGCCUCCUAAAGAGUAACGGAGGCGCUCAAAGGUUCCCUCAGAAUGGUUGGAAAUCAUUCAUAGAGUGUAAAGGCAUAAGGGAGCUUGACUGCGAGACCUACAAGUCGAGCAGGGUCGAAAGACGGACUUAGUGAUCCGGUGGUUCCGCAUGGAAGGGCCAUCGCUCAACGGAUAAAAGCUACCCCGGGGAUAACAGGCUUAUCUCCCCCAAGAGUUCACAUCGACGGGGAGGUUUGGCACCUCGAUGUCGGCUCAUCGCAUCCUGGGGCUGUAGUCGGUCCCAAGGGUUGGGCUGUUCGCCCAUUAAAGCGGUACGCGAGCUGGGUUCAGAACGUCGUGAGACAGUUCGGUCCCUAUCCGUCGUGGGCGUAGGAAAUUUGAGAGGAGCUGUCCUUAGUACGAGAGGACCGGGAUGGACAUACCUCUGGUGUACCAGUUGUCGUGCCAACGGCAUAGCUGGGUAGCUAUGUGUGGACGGGAUAAGUGCUGAAAGCAUCUAAGCAUGAAGCCCCCCUCAAGAUGAGAUUUCCCAUAGCGCAAGCUAGUAAGAUCCCUGAAAGAUGAUCAGGUUGAUAGGUCAGAGGUGGAAGCGUGGCGACAUGUGUAGCUGACUGAUACUAAUCGAUCGAGGACUUAACCAA
rnacentral:rRNA from 1 species